UCGCGGCUUAUCACCGGCAGUCCCCUUAGAGUGCCCAACUUAAUGAUGGCAACUAAGGGCGAGGGUUGCGCUCGUUGCGGGACUUAACCCAACAUCUCACGACACGAGCUGACGACAGCCAUGCAGCACCUAGUUUCGUGUCCUUGCGGACGCACCCAUCUCUGGAUGCUUCACUAACUUUCAAGCCCGGGUAAGGUUCCUCGCGUAUCAUCGAAUUAAACCACAUGCUCCUCCGCUUGUGCGGGCCCCCGUCAAUUCCUUUGAGUUUCACCCUUGCGGGCGUACUCCCCAGGUGGAAUACUUAACGCUUUCGCUUAGUCGCUAACUGUAUAUCGCUAACAGCGAGUAUUCAUCGUUUAGGGCGUGGACUAC
rnacentral:misc_RNA from 1 species